rnacentral:rRNA from 1 species
UACGAAGGGGGGCGAGCGUUGUUCGGAUUUACUGGGCGUAAAGGGCGCGUAGGCGGCGUGACAAGUCACUUGUGAAAUCUCCGGGCUUAACUCGGAACGGUCAAGUGAUACUGUCGUGCUAGAGUACAGAAGGGGCAACUGGAAUUCUCGGUGUAGCGGUGAAAUGCGUAGAUAUCGAGAGGAACACCUGCGGCGAAGGCGGGUUGCUGGGCUGAUACUGACGCUGAGGCGCGAAAGCCAGGGGAGCGAACGGG